rnacentral:rRNA from 1 species
UAUCUCUGUAGAGUCUGCAUAUCAAUAAGCGGAGGAAAAGAAACUAACUAGGAUUCCCUUAGUAACGGCGAGUGAAGCGGGAAGAGCUCAAAUUUGAAAUCUUCAAGGUUUUACCUUGACGAAUUGUAGUUUAAAGAAGUGUUUUCUGUUGGAGUUUUCGGUAAAAGUUCUUUGGAAUAGGACAUCAUAGAGGGUGAGAAUCCCGUAUUUGACCAUUAUUUCCAGCUUUGUGAUACACUUUCAAAGAGUCGGAUUGUUUGGGAAUGCAGUCCCAAAAUGGGUGGUAAAUUUCAUCUAAGGCUAAAUAUUGGCGAGAGACCGAUAGCGAACAAGUACCGUGAGGGAAAGAUGAAAAGAACUUUGAAAAGAGAGUUAAACAGUACGUGAAAUUGUCAAAAGGGAAGCGUUUGACACCAGUGUUGUUUUCUCGAAAAUCAAUUAAAAAUGGCUUGAUUUUGUGUUGUAUUGACCUUAAAAGCUUUCUUCACUUUUUUCAUGUCUUUUUUAAUGCACUUUUCGUUUAACAAGUCAACAUCAGUUUCUUUUGUUGUAAAAAGGUCAUUGGAAGGUGGCUUUCUUUUCGGAGAAAGUGUUUAUAGCCUUUGACUUCUGCAAUCGGAGAGACUGAGGUCUGCAGCGUAGAUCCUUCCUGGAUUAGAUUCAUUUGUGCUAAGUUACAACCGUUUAUAGACAACUUGUUGACUAUAUUCGAUCCCUGUUAGCUUACUCGCUUAUGUAAUUUUACCUACGCUUAGGAUGUUGAAGAUGUAGCACAUCAU